rnacentral:lncRNA from 1 species
CCAUGUUGUUAUAUUUGUUGUCCCUACCUUUAAGACAUGCUCAAUUUGUUAAAUACUAAUCACACUACUUCAUCUCCACUUGAGUAGAUCUCUAUAAAUGCUGUCAUGUUACCUUUGUCUAUUUACUAGAAAGUAUUAGUUUGGAAGUACUGCACAUACUUCUAUUGGCUUUUAAAUUAAGCAUGGUGCUUAGGUUAAACAGCCUUCCUUAAUCUGAUUAGACAUGGAGUCUAGUUCGGUUAUUGAACUAAAAACUGCUUGUGUAGACAUUGGUAUAUUUUUGUCGGACUAACCCCUGCAGAAAAACUUUCAAUAUCGAUUUGGGAAGUCCUGAGAUAAACUCACAUCAGAGACGAAGAGAGUGACACAUGAAGUUUAACAAUUUGCACAAGAAGGACAUAGCUCAUUCAUCAUAGAGAGAUGAUCCAUGGAGGGUGCCACAAACACGAUGCACAACCGCUAAGAAAGGACAGCUUCCACAAGAUGAUACUGUACCAUCACUCUUCGAGCAAGGUAACAUCUUAAGGUACUUGACUAUCACUUUUAUAAGCUUCUCCUUGCUUCUAGCAUUCAUAUAAAUAAAUGAGAUAAACAUGUAUGAUUUACAGCUCUAGAUUAACAAACCCAACUGAUUCAACAUGUUUAGUCCUUUAAUCCUUGUUCUUAGUACUACCUCCAUGAUCCCACACUCCUAAUCAUAUGAGCUAAAAUGUUAUACAUUCAAUCAUUGAGAGAUAUAAAGAAAAAGACAUAUACAUAAAUAGAUUAUCUUUCCAUAAGGUUGAGCGAUCUGAUCUGACAAAUGUUAUAAGUGCUACACUCUUGAACUUAUCAUCCAUCAACUUGUCUUGCUCACUAUGCUUAGGUUAGAGAAGAACAAAUACACUUUUGGUUCCGUUGGUGUUUUCCACCAACAGGGCCCCAUGCACUUGAUCUCUGCCUUGUCUCUAUGAGCAGGUACACUACGAGCACAAACACACUGAGCAAGAUACUGCUAACACCGCACUUCGAACUGCUGGGCAAACGAAGAACAUGGGUGACACCGUAUUAAAAGGUGCAGACGUCAAGAUCCACACCUGAAUCAAAUGACGCACCUGAAGAAUGAACACGGUGAGAAGUCUUGUUCAGAAGACUUAAAACAUUGAACCCUCGCCGAAAGGUAAAAUCGGUAGUUAUCCAUAUUUAUCCUUUCUGCAUUCCCUUUAAUUAUUUACUUUCCUUAAAUAGAUUAUUAGUUAAUCAUGCUAUGUUGAAAAGAAAAUAAAAAUGUUAAAAAAUACUAAGCCCCAUGUGAGUAUACGAAUGGCAUAAAACCCAUAAGUACCUUCACUGUGGUGGCAUAAAAAUAAAAUAAAUAUUUCUUUUCUACUUUAUAAAAAUAAAAAUAUAAAAAUAGGGAGUAAUAUUUAUUAAGGAGUCUCAAGAUGAUAAAGGCUAGAUAUUUAUGCUAACACUUAAUCAGUUCCACAAGCUUUGUUGUCUAUUUGAGCUCCACAGAAUUUAAGAAUCAAGAAGACUAGCAGACGGAGGACAUUCUAAUCGCUGUCAGAAUGCUGCUGACUUUCAAAUACACCUCUGCCACCUGCUAGCUACAUCAAGAGAAAUUACGUCAAAAUUCAGCUUGGGGGAGAGCACCCCCAUUUAUCCCGAUAAGUAUUUCUAUCUAUCUAUCUUUAUACUUAUAUUAUUUUAGAAUAUUAAAAUACAUAAACUAUGAAAAACCAAAUAAAGAUUUCGUGCUUAUAUAUCUUUUACUUAGUGUGUUUAAUAAAUAAAUAAAGUGGCUAUCUGUAUCUAAAUAAAAUUUAAGCAUGGAUAUGAUGAAUAGUUGCUCUGCCUAAUUUACAUAUUUUAAGUUCUCUCUCAAGUUUAGAUAUAACUGUGAUAAUUUAAAGCUUGCUCUAGACCUAAAUUUGUAGGAUGAAAACUUGAUCUGAAAUCUAAGUUGUUAACGGAUAUGAUAUGAGAAGGUGGAGCUGCUGUUUAUCUAUUCCUAGAGAUGCUAGAAUUCUAGAGAAUUUUAUCUUUGAAAAAUCUUUAAAAUGUUGCAUGAUGAGUUCCUGUAUGAUGAAAGUUUAAAUUCCUACCACAGUCAUAUAUACAUGCUUGCUAGACUUUGAGCCACACAUUUAUUAUUUAUUGCUUAUGAGCAUUGAGUGUGGUCAAGCUGUGUAGACCCUUAGGAGCUUGUCAUGUGGUUAAAUCAAGAUUCACUAGCACGUUCACUCAUAUAUAUGCUACUUCUACUCCGGAAGUACCAUCCACAUAUAUCCAUCCAUUUCCAUCUCCAGUUUCACCCAAAAUUAUUCUACUCCUAAUCCGGGAGAGAAUAGCCAAAAACAUUUUCCUAUCCCUGUUAUUCCCUGUGAAAUAAAUGCUCCAGUUAUUUUGGUUACUACCACUUGCUACAUUAUUUCAGGAGAUGAGUGCUCUGAAAAAAAAAGAAAAAGAAUAAAAAAAAAAGAAAAAAUAAAUAAACGAGGAAAUAAAAAGGGGCAAGUGCCCGGAACCUCGAAAGAAAAGAAAAAGAGUGAGACGAGAGGUAAAAAUGGACAAGUGUCCGACAGUAGAAUUAGGGGUACAGGAUACCCAUCUGAGAGAAAAGAAAAAGAAGAGCAUCUCAUUCUCCUCAUAAAGUUUCAAAAAGCAAGAAAGGUAUGUAUCCCCUCAAAAGAGCAAAAGUAGAAUUAGACUUUCACCAUUGUUAUCACCAUCAUCACCAUACACCAUUCAUUCGCCACACAUGCACAUCUUGAUUUGGCUUAUUGAUUUGUUUCUUUGGAUCCAUGGUUUGACUACACAAUAAAUGUCUUGUAAGUAUGUAUACUUUAUCUCCCACCUAUAAGCUCCAGAUAUUAAAGCCUUAUUAGAGUAGGGUGAGAGAGAAGACAAUGUCACUAUGCCUUAUACCACAAAUACCACAUAUCUUAAGAGAAGGCAUAUACCAUCACUGCCUUGGUAAGGAUCCAGAAAUACCACAAAAGAGAGAUUUAGAGAGUCAUACAAGGAAUCUCUAAGUUUUAUUUGAAAAUCUACAAAAAACUCCAGAGCUAUAGCUGAUCAAGAAUAAGCGACAUGGCACUUGACUGGACUGUUCUAUCUUUUAACUACUCAAGACAGAAGUGACGGUUACAAGUCACAUGGUGAAAGGUAAAGUAAGUAAGUUUUAAGUCUUGACAGUUUACUCUAACUCAGAGAUGAGAUCUUAUUUAAAAGCAUGUGUACCGUUAAAUUUUUAAGAUAUUGCAACAACUUCUGAUCCAUUGCUGAGUCUAUCCUUGCUCAGGGACGAGCAAGAGGUAAGCUUGGGGGAGUUUGUUGACGGUCCUUAAGUAUCAAAUUUAACUAUCAAAUAAACAAAGAAAAGGAUCCAAAUGAAAUCAACAUCGAGACUUAGGGUUUUAUCUGACAGAAUUCCACGAGUUUUGGUGUUUGUCUAUUUCUGCAGGGGGUUAUCAGGAAAUAAGGAAGAAAGGCCCACACGUCAGGAUUACAUAGAGAUAUUAACGUGCUGCGCAAUUAUCUUACAUCUAGAAGACUCCAGAAGCCACGAGACCGAAGCGGAGGCGAAACGGGGCCAGAGACAGGGCGCCCGCCCUGUCCUACUGGGCGCCCGCCCACCUCCUGUGGCCAAUCAGGCUCAAUCUCGCGGAUUAUGCUCCACCGACCUAAAGGAUCAAGAAUAACCGUUCAAUCAAUGUCGGUUUGAUCCGACGGCCCAGGUUCACUUGAGGGGACUAUAAAACCAGACCCCCUGGCCCCUGGAGGAGGCAACCCCUUGAUCAUUAUUCAUUAUUCAUAGACAGAGCAAAAGCUAGGGUUUAGAGAUGAGAGCUCUCCUCUCUUCUCUAAACUAGAGUAGAUCUAGAUAGUAGCGAGAUGGAGAGCGAAGGAGGAUUAGAGGAGAGGCCGGCCUGUCGGUUCUUCCUCCGGUUGUACUUCGCCAUGAUCAAGCUCUAAUCAAGCUUGCUCAUGGGAUGACUCUGGUAAUCUAAUUCUAAUUCAUUACGCAAUUACUAAUCAUGUAUGUUUUGGUUCACAACUCUUUUGAGUACUUCUAAUCUAUAGGACCCUAUAGGUUAGAGUUGUAGUAUAGGUGUAAGCGUGGUGCUUAGACCUAGAUUACUUGUGGAUAUCCCCUGACUAGCUGGAUCGUGUGGUAGGCCGCGUAGGUGACAGUUACGUUGGUCCCCUGUAGUCCACCUCUCGUUAGCAGGACGGGUAGGGUUUAUCGGCCUAUGGAUAAGCAUCCUUUGUGGUGUACUCUUAUCACAUGGUUCGUCCCAGACAUAGACAUACCCCUUUGAAGUAGAGAAACCAUAGUUAUCCUCUCUAUUCUGCUACCAUCGCCCAUAUACUAGAAUUGCUCUACUCUAUAUUCCCAUAUUAUCACUCACUGUUAUCUUACCUUUAAUAUUGUUCUUAUUCGAUUCUACCAUCUUUCCUAUUCACACCUAUUUACUUAUCUUGGUUAAGUUAGAGCAUAGAUCAGUUCUCCCGUUUCCCUGUGGAUACGAUAAAACCUUUAACCGGGUAAAAGCUUCAACGGUAUCCGUGCGCUUGCGGAUUAUCUGUGUGCGUAUAAAUACCAUAGUACACUCUAGUGCCAUGCUGGGGAUGACAACCUAGUAUUCAAGUGGUGUUAGCAAGUGUCAACACCAACUAAGUGUCAGGCAUGCGUUCAACAUGACAAGAGGACGUACAACGAUCGGUCCUUAACUGCCAAAGACGGAGUUACUACAGCCUUGCAAAACUCCGCCCGGCUUAAGUCAUUUUAAUCAGGUUCUUUCCCACGAUAGCACAUAUAGUCAAUCGUGUUCCGACACAACCCUAUUUCACGCAGGUGACAGGAUAUCACCUGACUUCUACCGAUUAAAGCAUGGCUAAGCUGCUACUCGAUCCUAACUCUACAACCAGGUGUUGACGGUCCUUAAGUACUAAAUUUAACCAUCAAAUAAACAUGGAAAAGGAUCAAUAUGCACCAAACAUCUAGAAUUAGGGUUUUAUCUGACAGAAUUCCACGAGCUUUGGUGUUUAUCUAUUUCUGCAGGGGGUUAUUAGAAAAUAUGGAGAAAAGGCCUACAUGUCUGGUUUACAACGAGAUAAUUUCGUGCCGUGCAAUUUUCCUUAAUCUAGAAGAGUCCAGAAGCCAGGGAACGAACGGGAGAUCGAUCGGGCCCGGGGGCAGGGCGCCCGCCCUCCCCCUUGGGCACCCGCCCUGCUCUAGUGGCCAAUCAGAGUAGGUCUCCUAGAUCGUGCUCCACCGCCUUUAAUCUUCAAGAAUAACCGUGCGAUCAAUGUCGGUUUGAUCCGACGGCCCAAAUUCAUCUGAGGGGGCUAUAUAAGCAAGGCCUCUCCACCCCAGGGGGGAGGAGAAAUCAUUAUCAGAGGAAGCCAUCAAAGUUAGGGUUUUAGAACUUCUCUCCCACAGAGAAUUAGAAUUAGCUACUCCUAGUUCCUUCAUGUUCUAUAGGAUUGAUUAGAUAGAAUUAGAGAAGUAGAGCCUAGCGCUCUGGAUUCGGAUCUUCAUCAAUAAAGAUUGGUAUUAUUUCAUAUCUUUCUCUACUACUUUAUUCUAAUUGCAUUAUGUCUCUAUUUAUUAUGUUCUUAGUUUGCUCUAGUUCUAUAUUUCUUAUAGUUAUGAUUGAUAAUGAGUUUAUGGAUAAGUUUGCAAAGCGCUUAGCUCUUGACGCGCGGGAGUUAAGUGGUAGAUCACAUGUGGGCAUGGUGCUUAGAUGUUAUUUACCUGCAAAUGUAUCCUAUUGGCCAAGUCGUGUGGUAGUUUGCGAUGGUGACAGCUUCGUUGAUUCUUAUAUAGUCCACCCUCUGUUGAUAGGACAGGCAGAAUUUGUAUUGCGGAGUAAGUCUUGCUAUGUUCUGAUUUACUUUAGCAAUGUUCCUUAUACAUGAAUGAAGAGUCUUUUAUGCUAUAUAUGAUCUUGUAGAUAACUAGAGUAGAUUGUGACUUAGUAGGUAGAAGAUACUUAGAAUCCAUUCUCUAGCUAAUCCGACGUCACCUAACAUUUAUAUGGAGUAGUCUAUUUCUAAUCGCUGUGUUAUUUACCCAUGAGCUUAUAUUUCAUUAUCAUUAUUAUUAUGGCUUACCCCCUACCAAAGCAAGUGACUAUGUGACGAGUUCCUCAUUAGUAAUCAUGUUCUUGCAGGUUUAUCUCUAGUCUAUGCCUUGAUAGAUUUUACCCCCCUAUUUUCACUUUCGCCGUUCUCUUAAGCAAAAAUUAUAAAUAACGAUACCCGGAAUACUUUCCUAGUGAAAUGCUACAAUGAGGUAUUUUAUCUGUGUGCUUGCGGAUAGAAUAGAUUAUUUUCUAGAGAGCCUUCAUAUUCAUAAAUACCUUUGUACACUCUGGCACUAUGCUGAGGAUGAUAACCUAGUAUCCAAGUGGUGUUUGUAAGUGUCAACAAGCAUUUCUGGCGCCGUUGCCGGGGAACGGUAAGGAAAGUCAGGAAGUUAGUCAAGGUUAUUCACAUAAAAUAUUAGAUUAGACUAUGGAGAAAUAAAUGCAUAAACACCUACUAAAUGAGAAAUCAUAACAAGGCACCUCUGCUUUGGCAGGUGUUGACGGUCCUUAAGUAUCAAAUUUAAUUAUCAAAUAAAUAAAGAAAAGGAUCCGAAUGAAAUCAACAUCCAGACUUAGGGAUUUAUCUGACAGAAUUCCACGAGUUUUGGUGUUUGUCUAUUUCUGCAGGGGGUUAUCAGGAAAUAAGGAAGAAAGGCCCACACGUCGGGAUUACGUAAAGAUAUUAACGUGCCGCGCAAUUAUCUUACAUGUAGAAGACUCUAGAAGCCACGAGACCGAAGCAGAGGCGAAUCGGGGCCAGAGACAGGGCGCCCGCCCUGUCCUACUGGGCGCCCGCCCACCUCCUGUGGCCAAUCACGCUCAAUCUCGCGGAUUAUGCUCCACCGACCUAAAGGAUCAAGAAUAACCGUUCAAUCAAUGUCGGUUUGAUCCGACGGCCCAGGUUCACUUGAGGGGACUAUAAAACCAGACCCCCUGGCCCCUGGAGGAGACACCCCUUGAUCAUUAUUCAUUAUUCAUAGACAGAGCAAAAGCUAGGGUUUAGAGAUGAGAGCUCUCCUCUCUUCUCUAAACUAGAGUAGAUCUAGAUAGUAGCGAGAUGGAGAGCGAAGGAGGAUUAGAGGAGAGGCCGGCCUGUCGGUUCUUCCUCCGGUUGUACUUCGCCAUGAUCAAGCUCUAAUCAAGCUUGCUCAUGGGAUGACUCUAGUAAUCUACUUCUAAUUCAUUAUGCAAUUACUAAUCAUGUAUGUUCUGGUUCACAACUCUUUUGAGUACUUCUAAUCUAUAGGACCCUAUAGGUUAGAGUUGUAGUAUAGGUGUAGGCGUGGUGCUUAGACCUAGAUUACUUGUGGAUAUCCCCUGACUAGCUGGAUCGUGUGGUAGGCCGCGUAGGUGACAGUUACGUUGGUCCCCUGUAGUCCACCUCUCGUUAGUAGGACGGGUAGGGUUUAUCGGCCUAAGGAUAAGCAUCCUUUGUGGUGUACUCUUAUCACGUGGUUCGUCCCAGACAUAGACAUACCCCUUUGAAGUAGAGAAACCAUAGUUAUCCUCUCUAUUCUGCUACCAUCGCCCAUAUACUAGAAUUGCUCUACUCUCUAUUCCCAUAUUAUCACUCACUGUUAUCUUACCUUUAAUAUUGUUCUUAUUCGAUUCUACCAUCUUUCCUAUUCACACCUAUUUACUUAUCUUGGUUAAGUUAGAGCGUAGAUCAGUUCUCCCGUUUCCCUGUGGAUACGAUAAAACCUUUAACCGGGUAAAAGCUUCAACGGUAUCCGUGCGCUUGCGGAUUAUCUGUGUGCGUAUAAAUACCAUAGUACACUCUAGUGCCACGCUGGGGAUGACAACCUAGUAUUCAAGUGGUGUUAGCAAGUGUCAACAAGCAUUUUUUGCGCCGUUGCCGGGGAAACGGUUGCUGAGUUGACUACGAACUAGUUUAAUCAUUUUAUAAUAAAUAAAUAAAUAAUAUUUUCCUUUUAUCCUUUGCCUCAUCUCUGCUAUUCUUUCUUCUUAUCUAAUCCUUGAUCUCUGGUCUAUUAUGAAUUCAAACAUGUCUAUCUAUGAAUUUCAUAGACCUAUGGGCACACAUCUCGAACCACCAAAAUCUUCAAAGCCUAUCAUAGCAUCUAGUUUUGAGAUAGACCCCGAAUACAUAGAAUUUAUUCAAAAACAACCUUUCUCAGGAGAAGGUGAGGAAAACCCAUACACACACCUAAGAGAGUUUUUUCGAGUCUGUGACCUCCUUCGCAUAGAAGGCAUGUCCGAUGAGACCCUUAAAUGGAAGCUCUUUCCGUUCUCUUUAAUGGGAAAGGCUAGACAUUGGUAUAAACUCAAAGUAGGGAGUGUUCAUGGAGAUUGGAAGGAGUUAUGUAGUAGUUUUCUUUCUAGAUAUUUUCCAAUCUCCAAAGUGGUGGAACUUCGGCGUGAGAUUCUUUCUUUUAGACAACUGGAAGAAGAAUCUCUUGGCAAAUUAUGGGACCGCUUUAUUAACCUUACUCUCACUGGCCCAAAACUUUCUAUUCCAGAAGAAGUUCUUCUAAUUCACUUUUUUGAGGGCCUUAGUAGGAAAAAUAAGCAAACCCUUCAUGCGGCCUCUGGAGGAUCUUUCCACCACCUAUCUGCUAGUGAAGCUUGGAAUUUGAUUGAUUUAAUGAGCGGAAAGUCUCCUAGCUUUUAUAUCCCUAAGAAAGAGAAAGAACCCGUUCCUAGACAAGAAGAAGAAGUUUCGAUAGCCAGAUCACAACCACUUCAAUCCCAAACUUUAGCUAUCGAUCCUAAACCAUCAAUAACCCAAAAUUCUCCAAGGGAGGAAGGAAUUCCGACCUUAAAUCUUUUAGAUGCUGAUGGUUUAGACUUCUGGUUCUAUAAGAGACCUUCAAGCAGGGAUAAUUCAAAUCAUUGCAAUAAUGUUUCUCUUAGAGAAUGUCCUGGUUCCUAUCAUGAAGAAGUCGAGGAUGACAUAUCAAGUGAAGGAGAGCUAAGCCAUAUAGAAAAUUCUAACACCUCCCCUAUUUUGAUUACAAGUUCUAAAUGGCUAGAAUGUGUAGAAUGGCUGGAUAAGGAAGAAGCCUUAAUGGGUUCUGACUUUGGCUCAAUUUCAAAUGGUGAGUUCUUGACUCCCUUUGAAGAUGAGAUUCAUCCAACUACAGAAGAGGACAUAGGUGAGACCAAUCCAGGAGAAACUCCGAACAUUCAGAUUAGAGACGAAGAUAACAUUAAUGAGCAUGAAAUUUAUUUCAUAGCCACUUCGUUUACUCCAUGCUCAUAUGCAACAUCUUCCCAAUCUAUUGGUCUCUCCGACAUCACCACACUUGAGAUCUCCAACCCCCUCUUUCUUUCUAUUUAUAAAAACUUUAAAAGGGCGGUUGUCGAUGCAUAUGUCUAUAAUAAAUAUUGCAGAUCUCGUUGAGUUGAUCUAGAUAUAGGUUGGCGUCGGAGGGGAAACCACUUCGCCAACAUAAACUGAUGGUUUCCCAAGGACAAGCUUAGUGUCUUAAAAUAAGCAUUGAUCAGAUCGUAACAUGAGCCUUUAAUUAUUUGCAACAUUACCUUGUGUAUUGAGCAUAUAAGGAUAAUUGUAAAAAAAUAAUGUUCCUUCGGGUAUUCUUGUCACUAAUCUUUCUAAGAUUGGAGCAAGAAGAUCGGAUGAAUGACAAGCACAUGGUAUGUCCAACCAAUCAUAAUACAACAUUGAAUUAAAUUCAUUCAAACUUGAAUUUUGCAAAAUUCAAGCUUGGGGGAGUACUUUACAUAAAAACAUCAUUUGCCAUGUUGCUAUGCUGGUUGUCCCUACCUUUGAGACAUGCUUAAUUUGUUAAAUACUAAUCACACUACUUCAUCUCCACUUGAGUAGAUCUCUAUAAACGCUGUCAUGCUACCUUUGUCUAUUUACUAGCAAGUGUUGGUUUGGAAGUACUCGCCAUACUUCCAUUGACAUUUAAAUUAAGCAUGGUGCUUAGGUUAAAUAGCCUUCCUUAAUCUGAUUAGACAUGGAGUCUAGUUUGGUUAUUGAACUAAAAAAAACUGCUUGAGUAGAUAUUGGUAUAUUUUGUCGGACUAACCCCUGCAGAAAAACUUUCAAUAUCAAUUUGGGAAGUCCUGAGAUAAACUCACAUCAGAGACGAAGAGAGUGACACAUGAAGUUUAACAAUUUGCACAAGAAGGACAUAGCUCAUUCAUCAUAGAGAGAUGAUCCAUGGAGGGUGCCACAAACACGACGCACAACCGCUAAGAAAGGAAAGCUUCCACAAGAUGAUACUGUACCAUCACUCUUCGAGCAAGGUAACAUCUUAAGGUACUUGACUAUCUCUUUUAUAAGCUUCUCCUUGGUUCUGGCGUCCAUAUAAAUAAAAGAGACAAAUGUGUAUGAUUUACAACUCUAGAUUAACCAACCCAACUGAUUCAACAUGUUUAGUCCUUUAAUCCUUGUUCUUAGUACUACCUCCAUGAUCCCACUCUCCUAAUCAUAUGAGCUAAAAUGUUACACAUUCAAUCAUUGAGAGAUAUAAAGAAAAAGACAUAUACAUAAAUAGAUUAUCUUUCCAUAAGGUUGAGCGAUCUGAUCUGACAGAUGUUAAAAGUGCUACACUCAUGAACUUAUCAUCCAUCAACUUGUCUUGCUCACUAUGCUUAAGGUUAGAGAAGAACAAAUACACUUUUGGUUCUGUUGGUGUUUUCCACCAACAGGGCCCAUGCACUUGAUCUCUGCCUUGUCUCUAUGAGCAGGUACACUACGAGCACAAACACACUGAGCAAGAUACUGCUAACACCGCACUUCGAACUGCUGGGCAAACGAAGAACAUGGGUGACACCGUAUUAAAAGGUGCAGACGUCAAGGUCUGCACCUGAAUCAAAUGAUGCACCUGAAGAAUGAACACGAUGAGAAGUCUUGACAAGAAGACUUAAAACAUUGAACCCUCGCCGAAAGGUAAGAUUGGUACUUAUCCAUAUUUAUCCUUUCUGCAUUCCCUUUAAUUAUUUACUUUCCUUAAAUAGAUUAUUAGUUAAUCAUGCUAUGUUGAAAAGAAAAUAAAAAUGUUAAAAAAUACUAAGCCCCAUGUGAGUAUACGAGUGACAUAAAACCCAUAAAUACCUUCACUGUGGUGGCAUAAAAAUAAAAUAAAUAUUUCUUUUCUACUUUAUAAAAUAAAAAUAUAAAAACAGGGAGUAAUAUUUAUUAAGGAAGCUCAACGUGAUGAAGGCUAGAUAUUUAUGCUAACACUUAAUUAGUUCCACAAUCUUUGUUGUCUAUUUGAGCUCCACAGAAUUUAAGAAUCAAGAAGACUAGCAGACGGAGGACAUUCUAAUCGCUGUCAGAAUGCUGCUGACUUCCAAAUACACCUCUGCCACCUGCUAGCUACAUCAAGAGAAAUUACGUCAAAAUUCAGCUUGGGGGAGAGCACCCCCAUUUAUCUCGCUAAGUAUUUCUACCUAUCUUUAUACUUAUAUUAUAUUAGAAUAUUAAAAUACAUAAACUAUGAAAAACCAAAUAAAGAUUUUGUGCUUAUAUAUAUAUCUUUUGCUUAGUGUGUUUAAUAAAUAAAUAAAGUGGCUAUGCUAAUCUGAAUCUUAAUAAUAAAACUCUAGCAUGGAUAUGAUAAAUAGUUGCUCUGCCUAAUUUGCAAAUUUGAAGUUCUCUCUCAAGUUUAGACAUAACUGUUAUAAUUUAAAGCUUGCUCUAGAUCUAAACUUGUGGGAUGAAAACUUGAUCUGAAAUCUAAGUUGUUAACGGAUAAGAUAUGGGAAGGUUGAGCUGCUGUUUAUCUGUUCCUAGAGAUGCUAGAAUUCUGGAGAAUUUUAUCUUUGAAAAUCUUUAAAAAUAUUGCAUGAUGAGUUCCUGUAUGACGAGAGUUUAAAUUCCUACCACAGCCAUAUAUACAUGCUUGCUAGACUUUGAGCCACACAUUUAUUAUUUACUGCUUAUGAGCAUUGAGUGUGGUCAAGCUGUGUAGACCCUUAGGAGCUUGUCAUGUAGUUAAAUCAAGAUUCACUUGCACGUUCACUCAUAUAUAUGCUACUUCUACUCCGGAAGUACCAUCCACAUAUAUCCAUCCAUUUCCAUCUCCAGAAUCACCUAAAAAUAUUCUACUCCUAAUUCGGGAGAGACUAGCCAAAAACAUCUGUGUUUUUCCCUUGUGAAAUAAAUGCUCAAGUUAUCUUGCUACUACCACUUGCUAUAUUAUCAUAAGAGAUGAGUGCUCUUAAAAAAAAGAAGAAAAAAAAGAAAAGAAAAAAUAUAUAUAUAUAAACGAGGAAAUAAAAAGGGGCAAGUGCCCGGAACCUCGAAAGAAAAGAAAAAGAGUGCGACGAGAGGUAAAAAUGGACAAGUGUCCGACAGUAGAAUUAGGGGUACAGGAUACCCAUCUGAGAGAAAAGAAAAAGAAGAGCAUCUCAUUCUCCUCAUAAAUUUUCAAAAAGCAAGGAAGGUAUGUAUCCCCUCAAAAGAGCAAAAGUAGAAUUAGACUUUCACCAUUGUUAUCACCAUCAUCACCAUACACUAUUCAUUCGCCACACAUGCACAUCUUGAUUUGGCUUAUUGAUUUAUUUCUUUGGAUCCAUGGUUUGACUAUACAAUAAAUGUCUUGUAAGUAUGUAUAUUUUAUCUCCCACCUAUGAGCUCCAGAUAUUAAAGCCUUAUUAGAGUAGGGUGAGAGAGAAGACAAUGUCACUAUCCCUUAUACCACAAAUACCACAUAUUUUGAGAGAAGGCAUAUACCAUCACUGCCUUGGUAAGGAUCCAGAAAUACCACAAAAGAGAGAUAUGAGAGAGUCAUACAAAGGAAUCUCUGAGUUUUAUUUGAAAAUCUGCAAAAACUCCAGAGCUAUAGCUGAUCAAGAAUAAGCGACAUGGCACUUGACUGGAUCCUUUCUAUCUUUUAACCACUUAAGACAGAAGUGACGGUUACAAGUCCCAUGGUGAAAGGUAAAGUAAGUAAGUUUUAAGUCUUGAUAGUUUACUCUAACUCAGAGAUGAGACCUCAUUUAAAAGCAUGUGUACCGUCAAUUUUUAAAGAUAUUACAACAACUUAUGAUCCAUAGCUGAGUCUAUCCUUGCUCAGGGACGAGCAAGAGGUAAGCUUGGGGGAGUUUGUUGACGGUCCUUAAGUAUCAAAUUUAAUUAUCAAAUAAAUAAAGAAAAGGAUCCAAAUGAAAUCAACAUCCAGACUUAGGGAUUUAUGUGACAGAAUUCCACGAGUUUUGGUGUUUGUCUAUUUCUGCAGGGGGU